ensembl:snRNA U6 U6 spliceosomal RNA
GCACUCACUUCUGCAGCACAUAGACUAAAAUUGGGACAAACAGAGAAGAUUGGCAUGGCCCCUGCGCAUGGAUAAUGUGCAGAUUCAUGAACUAUUAAGAAAAUAU